UACCGUGUCAUAAGAAAUGACAAACUAGAUGAUCACUGGAAAGACAUAUGAAGUGAUGCAAAGUGAAGUGAGCAGAAACAGGAGAACAUUGUACAUAGUAAUAACAAAAAUGUAUGAUGACCAACUGUGAAUGACAACUGUUAUCCAAAAGGCAAGGAUCCAGGACAACUCUAAGGGACUCAUGAUGAAAAGAAGGAUAUCCACCACCAUAGAAGGAACAGAGAGAGACUGAAUGAAUAUUUGAGAUAUACAAAUGUGUAGGAAGAUGGCAGAGUAGGUCCUAAAUUUUUCUAAUCGUCCUAACACCUGCCCCCCAACAAACAACCAAAAUUAACUCCACAGAAUCAAAGCUUAAAGUGGCAAAGUGAUAAGAGUUAGGAGUGAAGCUGAACAGCCCUGGAAAAUUAAGGAUGAAGGUUUCUGACUUUCCUGGCCUCAGUCUCACCACCAUAGACCCUGGGGACAGGAACAGAGAAAACAGAGUAGAAUCAACAAGAUAACCGAUGGGGUCAUCAAUAGCAACUUCAUCAGAGUACACAGAGUAGAACUGAUAGGGUAAUUGAUGGGGACAGGAUUCGCAAUCUCACCUUGCCUAUAUCCCCAAGUAUACCAGUAGUAUCCUCAGUCACAGGGUCAAGAAAUCAGCUGUGUCUGCUGAUGCCUGGGCUUCGGAGACCCCAGCUGUUCCAAAGCUCGGGUUUGAGGAGAUGGACACCAUGGAGUCUGUAGAGAGCUGGGUACUAAGGGCAGGAUGGAGUCCUUGCUGCUGAUAAUGGACUUCUGAGGCUAGGGAAAUGCUAGCUGAAUGUCUGUCCUGUCCUGGGCUAUAUCAUUAGGAGAGGAGAAAUGAUGUACUGAUGGAAGAAUACUGCUUCUUGUAGAAAAUACAAGCUUGGCAUUUCAAGACCUUCACAGUCCAGGGAGGACAGGAAGUCCCACUGAAUAGAAGCUGAAAGCAGGCAUCCUCACCUGACUUGAUCAGACACAUUCCAGCCUUCAUCUGCUUUGAGUCCAUUUCAAGGGAAUGUGAAAUUCCAGUCCAAGAUUUCCUGGUGGCUGCUCCUGGUGAAACACAUUACCUAGGGAUGUCUGUGCGAGUGUCAGAGAGGUGGAGAAAUCCUUCAAAUCUGUUAAAUGUGGAAUAAAGAGGAGAAUAACUUGAAUUAAAUUCCUGUGCCCACUUGAAAUAGGCUCUGACUGUGCCUCUGUAGCUAGCCCUGAUUUUUGCAUGAAAAUAUUCCUUUUGUCCCUAUCUGGUGUUAGCCU